UUUAACAUUUCAUCACUGAGACUAUUAAGCAGAAUACACAAUAAUUAGAAAUGAUAUUCAUUACCAUCCUCACGUGUAUCAUAGCAAUCCACUUUCAAGAUUCCACAGGACAGGUCACUGUAACUCAGACUCCCACAGAGAAACAUGUUCAGAUCGGACACACAGUCACUCUGACCUGUAAAACCAGCAGUUUCAUUGGACGCCAGUCAGAUGGUGACUGUAAGACUUGUGUUUCCUGGUAUCUACAGAAACCUGGAGAAGCUCCAAAUAAUUUAGUAUACAACAUCAAAACCCUUCACACUAGAACUCCUUCACGAUUCAGUGGCAAUGGAGCAGAUCAUGGAACUGAUUUCACUCUGACCAUCAGUGGAGUCCAGACUGAAGAUGCAGGACAUUAUUACUGUCAGAGUUACCACUGGAUUGACAGUCAAGGUUUAUUCACACAGUGAUAAAGAGUUGUACAAAAACCAUAGCGACUGCACUGAUACACUGACAGAUACUGCAGCUGCUCACACACACACACACACACACACACACACACACACACACACACAAACGCGCGCACACGCACACAUCAGUGGAGACAUUAACAUUAUUAUAAAACUGAACUUAGUGUUUCAGUCACAACGAGUGCUGCUUUAAGACUAGAGGAUGCUGAGGAAUGUAAAAAAGUGGGGGCUCGUCCGGGAUUGAUCAGACUUGGAUUGGCUGGAGCAACUGUAAAGAAAGCGACACACACAAGAAAAAAAUCCACAGUAACAUAUGCCUUGAGGGCGUAACACCAAUCCUGCGUGGAUACAGGAGUCAUUUUUGUCAUAAUGAUGUUUCUGUCAUUCAUACACAGCUCAAACAUCAUUAACAGAAAAGCUGAAGAUUCAGACAAACUAAUCAACAAUUUUCAACAUGUCAGAUGCACACUGUUCAUUCUAGACUCAUUUGACUUUGUUUGGUUGACAAAAGUUGAAACACUAAAACAGAGAGACUGAGGAAUAUUUUUAAGGAAGAA